rnacentral:sRNA from 1 species
CUGAUCAACCUGGAGAAUGACACUAUCUAGCCAUGUAAGAGGUACAGCAUGGCCAGCAGCAGUUCAGGCUUUUUUCAUGCUGUCCCACCAAUGCACUUUUAUUCCUGAGCUGGAGUGCAUACAAGUGGGAAAGCUGUUCAGUCUCCAAGGCACAAAUCAAACCUUUGGCUCA